CAAAAACUCAAAGGAUACAUUGAAAGUCCUAACUGGGCUCACCUGCACUAAGUGGUCUUUUAGUUUUUAUACUUCCGAGGUAUUUGCAUUUUUCACAACGAGAAGGUACUCAUUACUUGAGCAACAACAACAAAAAGGAGAGCAACUGUUAGGGUCUAAAUUACUGUUUGUUGAAUGAAUAAACGACAGAUCCAUUUCCUAGGGCUGCCUUUUCAAACUGGGUAUGACCUAUCAGUAGAUUGUGAAAUCACUGACUUACUGGGUUGUAACCAGUAAUUCUUUUAGUCAAAUAUACUAGAACAGAAGGCAUCAAAGACCAGCAUUCAUAGCAGAGGGCUUAUUCACUACUAAACUUUCAUUUCUGUUAUAUGAUGUGGGUGUGAACAGCACUACGACCUAAUGUAUUUCUUCAUACCGCAGGUCACUGGCAGGAGUCUUAAAGCCAACCUUCUUUGCUAGGGGUCUACAAGAGCUGCAGCAGUGAAGACUCCAUGGUCCAGUGGAAGUGGAGAUGGCUCUGGAGCAGAGCAGAAGCCCCGCCGCUCCCACCACCGAGGGCUCUCAGGAGGAGGGCACGGCUCCCGCCCGCACUCCAGCUUCUGGCGUGGACUGGAAAAGGACCAAGAGAGCCCCAAGAAGGGAAACCGCUCGCUGGGAAAACGGGCGCCCCAGGAAGCUGGGGCCGCUGCGACCUCGGGCCUGACUGGUGUUUCGCUUCCCCUCCGCUCCUCCUCGGAGGCCCCCAGUGCAACCAAAGCUCCAAAUGUCACCCCCGCCUCCUGCGAUCCCCUCGCCCCCGCCGCGUUCGGCCCCCAAGUCCUCCUCCCGGGCCCCCGGACUCCCGAUGCAUGGAGUUCAACCUUGAAAGAGGCCGUGGGUAGGCCGCGAGCCUGGCCGGUCGCGACGCGGUCUGGGGGGCACCCGGCUCGCGUGUCCCGUGCUCCCUCCCGUGACGUCACCCCCGAGGGGCCCCGGCGCCCGGGCCUGGCAGCCACGGAGCUCCCGGAUCGCCUCCUGCUGAGGCGCGGGGCCUGAGCACAGGCCCAGGCGGGGACUUCGCGUGCCCCAUCGCUCCACACGCUGUCCUGGCUCCCACGCGCGGGUCACGCACAGAGAAGCCAGCUCCCCGCCCCCACCCGGGCGCACUCACAAGGCUCCCCUCCCGCCCUCGGCGCCACGCAACUGCUCCCCACGUCCCCACCCCACGCUGGGCAAACAUUCCGCGC
rnacentral:lncRNA from 1 species